CCCUUGUACACACCGCCCGUCACACCAUGGGAGUGGGUUGCACCAGAAGUAGAUAGUCUAACCUUCGGGAGGGCGUUUACCACGGUGUGGUUCAUGACUGGGGUG
rnacentral:rRNA from 1 species